rnacentral:lncRNA from 1 species
GCCCGGGGUUCACCUCUUGGUGAGGGGAAGAGGCACUCACGGCGACCACAUGUAUCCCCUACAGCUGAGCCAUCCUGGUCCCCACUCCAGCCAUGGCCUUGCCAGUGGGCAGCCCUGUGCCCACUAGCGCCCUCAGCCAUCUUGUCUCUGGGUCUCAGAGCUGUGUCCCUGGAGUGUCCUGGGGGAGGUGCCUGAGGACUGAGGGAGCAUCUGGGGGCCCCUAGGGCCACACAGCAGGUCUAGCAGACACAGCUGCUGCCACAGUGGCGUUUUCUGGUCCUAGCUGAAAGCUGGGAGAGUGACAUCAGGAUGAGGGACGUGGCAUCACCCACCCCCACCCACAGGCAAACCUGCAGGGCUGAGCACAGGGCUGUCAGUCACCCCUGCCAGUGCCUGUGGAGGGGACCUCAGUGGAAGAUCCCAGGUUGUGGGCCCAGGAGUGGAUGCAGAGGCCUGAGUGCCAUCUUAGGCAUCCCAGGCCACCCGUGUCCCAGGCAUGAGGACCCCACCUGGCAACCUGGGUCUGCACUGGUUCCGUGGGCUGUCUUAUUCUCUUAUGCCUUCACAUCCUCAGCUGGAGCCCAGGAUGUUGGGAGAGACCCAGGUCGCCGAGCUCGCACAGGGACUGGGGGCCCGGCCUUGGAGGAGGGUGGCGGGUGCAGAGCUCAGGGCCUCAGGACAUGGUUACAUAAGCGGAUCCAGCUGCCAGAUGUGAGGGCAGCUGCAGAGCCCCUGGGCAGGGCAGCUGUGGAUGCUCUUUUCUGGGACAGGAGAGGGGAGCGUCUGGGACACUCCUGCCAGGACAACCCUUCUGCCACCAGAGAAUCCGGGAGAGAAAAGAGCAGUCCUGUCCCCACAGAGCCGACCGUGACACUGCGCGCAUUUGUCUGCAGUGUUGACUUGUGACUGAGGUGAAGUCUGCCCGUGGCAAGUGCAUGGUCCCAGGCCUUCAAGUCACUCAGCUUUAAGGAAUGGGACGGCGCCACCCCAGACCCUCGAUGGGCAUCACCACCAGGUCCUGCCCUCCCUGGGCAGCGGGCUCCUGCCUGCCCGCCAGAGUCUGUGCUCCCAGAUGCUGUGGCAGGGGCCACGCC